rnacentral:misc_RNA from 1 species
CUUCCUGUUGUUAUUUUUACAUUCAGAGAUAGGAUCACAAUAGUUAUUAGAAUAUUGCACGGAUAAAUCUAUCACACCGUUCUGAGCCGAAAAAAACCUUUAUUGUACGCGCUUACGUAGACUAGGAAAAAAAACAAAGGAGCAUCUAAAAAUAUCGAUAGAGUCUAUCGAUAGCAUCUAGAACAAUCUUCUAGUUACUGCUUUUUGGAACUAGUGCAUCCGCAUGUGGAGGAUGAGCACGAACUCACGUUGUUAUUUUCAACAUCUCCUCUCAACGGAAUUCGAAUGCUCGUCAAACCAAUGGUUUCUAGGUGAGCAUUGUGACUUGGCUUGCCCAAGCUUUUUGUUAGUAAAUCAGCUGGCAUCUCAUUUGUGGGCAUAUAGAAAAUUCCAAUGAUUCUCUUUUGAAAAAUCUCACGAACAUAAUGAUAGCGGAUGUCUAUAUGCUUCCUUUGAUCGUAGAACACUGGAUUUUUUACCAAUUUAGCUGCACUCUGGUUGCUAUUUAAUUUGCAAUAUAUUUUGG